UACGUAGGUGACCAGCGUUGUCCGGAUUUACCGGGCGUAAAGGGCGCGUAGGCGGCUAGGCAAGUCAGGUGUGAAAGCCCCGAGCUUAACUCGGGAAUUGCAUCUGAAACUGCUGUGCUUGAGUUCUGGAGGGGGUAGUGGAAUUCCCAGUGUAGCGGUGAAAUGCGUAGAUAUUGGGAGGAACACCUGCGGCGAAGGCGGCUACCUGGACAGAAACUGGACGCUGAGGCGCGAAAGCUAGGGGAGCGAACGGG
rnacentral:rRNA from 1 species